UGGAUACUGCUCUGUUUUUAAUUGAUUCUAAUGUUUUAAAGCAGGGAUUCCCAAGCUGCGACCAGGGGGUGCGCGAGAGGAAAAAUAUAAUGGCGGUCAGUUUUUUUAAGUGGGAUUUUUUCAUUGACAUAUAUAAAAGGAUUUUUCCAUACAAUAAAAAAGCAUAAAAAAACAGCUGCUGUCUUCUUCUAGUCACGAAGGAGGAGAGGGACCAAGAGAGAGAGAGGAUUUGGAGGCAACAGAGACGGAGAGGAUAGAGACAGAAAAUUAGCGGGAGUCAGAAGAUGCACGGGAGGAAACCGAAGAGCAGGUGCAAAGCUGGACAUUAGCAGCAGUGGUACCCCUGGCCUGAUGGGGGCGCUGCUGAAGGCACAAGUCCUGGACGCAGUGGGGCCGACGCUGAGCGAUGUCCCGGCCCUGGGCUCUUUGCUGGUGCUGCAUUCUGUCCGGGUGGCUAGGAGGCUCCUUGAGCUGUGGAACCAGAGGCUGACAGGGGAGAAAAGUAGCCGCCUCACAGACUACAGCCAGAGAGAAGUGGAGCCAGACCCUGCAGACCCCUUCCACAAGAUCUACCUGAGCCCAGGGCUAGGGGAACUCACCGCCCCCUUGCUCGCUACAACAUGCCCCGAAGCAUUGACAUUGCACGAAGCAGAUAAGAAGACUAUGUAUUUUAACUGUGUGAAGGGCAUAAACAGGUCCAGAUUGUGCAACAAGCUGGAGGAUUUUAUACAAACCUCCCCUCAAGAAACGGACUGCCGACUUCCAGUGGAGAAUUUUACACGGUGCUGUCGCCUCCAAUGCUUUUAUUUCUGUUAUUAACCCCACUGUUUUGAGCAAGUGCCUCUUCUGUGAGCUUAGAGAGACUAUUUAUCAUGUUUUUACUGAGUGGAAGAGACUUGCAAGUUUCUUCUCUCUUUUAACAUUGGUUUUCAGUCUUCUCAAUGUGGUUUUUACAGAAAAGUUUUUAUUAUGAGAGCUGCCUUGAAGAAA
ensembl:lncRNA